ACGGUUUGUCCUGUUUUCACCCUUCUUUGCUCUCCACCGGUCUGGGCAGGGUCUGAGGACUCCGGAGAGCAAGGCAUGGGUCCGCCUCGUGCCGCAGGUUCCUGGCCCACGCCAGCCAUACCCAGUAGCACAAUGGGUGAGCUCUGAGGACUUCGCAGGGGCCCCAUCCCCUCACCUAGAUGAGGGCUAACCUUGGAGUCCAGACAAAGGUGGAAGUGACCUAGAUGUGACCUGAAUGAGCUAAUCAUCUAAUGAGAGCCAGCCCUUUGUCCUGCCCACAUGAAGGGCUUUGCUGCUACGCACUGACAAGUUGGACGGCUUUUUAUUGCUUUGUUGCCAGUUAUCUGAACAUGAGAGGCUGUAAGGUGUAAUCUGCGAGCCCUGCGCCCAGACUGAACCAGGGCCUCCCUUGAACAUGAGUAUUAGACAAUGAAAUAAGAACUUAUCUUGCCCAGACUAUAUAAUGGCUUGGAAAUGCAUAGUUUCCUGAACGAUCUCAAUAAAAUACUUUUAAAAGUA
ensembl:processed_transcript 1110038B12Rik RIKEN cDNA 1110038B12 gene